CUGCCUUACUAUAAGGACCAGAGUUGAUAAGCACAGAGCAGAUGGAACAGCAUGGUACCUGGUGGCUAUUGCUCUGAGCUAAAAAGCAAACUUGGAUCAAGAGGCACCUCUGAGUUGAAGAGUUUCACCCGGUGGGCUUCCAGGCGGACUGUCUCUGAACCGACCCCGAGAAAAGCUACAAUUUCCACCUGCAGCGGUCCAGUGUUUCACCUUAUGAUCCUGGAAGCUACGAAACACGUUAACCGAAAAUGAUGGAGCUGGCAAUAAUGAUCUGAUUCACCUGGUAGGUUUACGGACAAAUGCAUCGGCACUGUUUCAUCCUGGUCUGCCAUGAUAAAUGAUUGCUUUUCCUUGCUCCAAAUAUAAUUAUGUUCCUGAUUCAGAACAAAUGUGGAGACUCAGACCCCCGAAGCAAGGCUAAGGCAACAAGUUCUCAACCACCAGCACAUCUGACUCAUAGCCAUUAGAAAAAAAGGACUCACCGAACCCAGAGCAGAGAUGGCAAACCUUUGAAGAACAAAGAGCAAGAUGGGGACUUGGUGGCAAGCUCUGGCCUGACAUUGAAUGUUAGAUGAAACGGGAACAUUAACUCUCGCGUCGCCUGAGACAAACACACAUUCUCCAGUGCGUUAAAGCUGCAUAAGUCACAACUAGUGAGCUGCUUAUUUCUCUCUACAGCCCAAGAAAAAUAUUGCUUUAUUUUCCUUAGUAGUUCAAAGGAGAUGGUUUGUGCCAGUAGGAAAUUAAGUCACCUUUUUUUAAAAAAAAAAUGUUUUCUUCUUCCACUUUCCUCUUUCUUUA